UCUUCCCCAAUUUUGCGCUAGGCAAUGGAGGAAAUCGUUCUGGGUUUCGGCGGUCUGGGCAUUGGGCGUCGAUCUAUAAUAUUUUCAACCCAGACAUAUCUCUUCUCUCUUGCCAUUUGUCUACACGACGAUGACAAUUUAUAUCAGAAACCCUAAAAAAGAAUCUCCAUUAUCAGAAUUCAGAAACCCUAGCUAGCUAGCUAAGCUCAUUACGGGCAUCAUGUAUUGCGAAUUAUACCAAAUCUCUGCAUACAAUAUGCAGAAUCAGAAUCCCACCUGCUAUUUCUUCAUGGUGUGCAGAUUGUUAAACUAGAAUUAAGGGAAGUAUCAAGAGCUUUUGUUGUGUCUCUCCCCCCUUCGAUCGGUGAAAACUCGGAAGAGGAAGCAAGAUUAGGGAACAAAGAAAAAGUCAAACUCUGUAAUUAGGGUUUUAGAGAGACACAGUAAUAUGGACCAUGGCCUUCGUCCUAGACAGAGGGAGUUCUUCAUUGGCUUCACAAAGGGCCAGAUGGAGAGAAUGGACAAAUUGGUGAGGGAGUCCGGAGAAGUAGUGCUUGUCAAGAAUUUUGUCAAAAUUUUGCAUAAAGUUUUUAAUCACUCUGCUAGUCAUGCUGGAAAAUCAAUUGUGAAAUGGAUUUAGAGGUUCUUGCUCUGCUAGGAAAAAUGAUGAUAUCUCCUUACUUGCUUUUCUCUGUCACUGGGGUGGAUUACCAUUGCAGAAUGUGUUGGAUGAGGAAUUUAUAUUAGCAAAAGAAUUUUUUUUCUCAGGAAGGCUUGAUAAUCUCUGCAUACUCAAUCAAUCUGGUAGCAGGUGCAGCAAAAGAACAUUUUGAUUUCUUCCUUAGUCAAGAUUCUAUUGUAGGCUUGGAGUUAAGAUCAAGUCAUCAAACACGGUAUUGGAAACAUGGAGAGGGUUGGCCUUUUGCACAGUUUGUCCAACUUUUCAUUUUAAUUUUGAUACUCUUUGGAUGUAAUUGAUAUGAAUAAUAACAUACACUGAAUAUAUUGAGGUUGUAGUGAAAAUAUUGGUUCUUAAUUAGCUUG